GGGUUUGUAGUCUAGCGGUUAGGACAACGCGUUGACGUCGCGUAAACCUCGGUUCGAAUCCGGGCAGACCCA
rnacentral:tRNA from 1 species